rnacentral:lncRNA from 1 species
GAUGGCCUACAAGGAGAAUGUGAACCCCGGCUUGUACGGCCUGCUUAAGAAUGGGGCCCCCGCCCCCCCCGCAGCCCAGCGGGUGCCCCUCAAGGACCCCGCCACCACGGGGACCCCCUCCGAUGCCCUCCUGCUGCAGAGAGCCACCGGCCGGCCUCCCCCCGUGCCAGCAGCAGGACGCGUCCCUGUGGAGCCCAACACCUUGGUGGCCCCCCAGUACCUGCUGCAACCCACAGCAGUGAUGAACGCUGUCCUCCUCCUCCUCCUCUCCAGAAGAUGCUCCGCGUGCAGCCCCAGAGACCACGCUCCCAGGGCCGUGUUUGCCUCCAUCUCUGGAGGGAGCAUCCAAGAUUAAGACUGCACACACCUCCAAAAAGAGUGCUGAAGUAUGACACCCCAUUGCGACUACUGGUUCUCCAGCUGAUUUAGCAGAAGAAUGUCCCUUUACAAACCUUCAGCACUUUUACAUGUCUUUAUUGAAGUCCACAAAGAUGUAACUGUGAUUUGGAUGACUUACACCAAUUCCUUUUUUUGCAACAUAGCUAGCAUGGUAAUCAGACGAAAAACAGAUACUAAUAUUUUGCUGCAGAACUACAAACAACUCUUUAAAUGGAGAAAACCUUAAGAGAGAAUCACUCACCACAAAGCUGCUGUAGUGAAAGCUCAUCAGAUCAAGAAGAAACAUGCUGAUACUCCUUCUAAG